AGCUGAUUGCCAGCCAGAGGAUCCAUGUGAAUUCACAGCAUAGCUCCAUGGCUCAUAGUACUUCUAUUUGAUGAUUCUGUACUAAUUUAUUUUGCUUAGUUGGAUGUGCUGCAUCAUGAAUGCGUUCCAAGCCAGCCAUGAGAAUCUAAUUUUGACAAGAUCACCAAAAUUUUGGGGAGCUGAAAGGUCAUUAGAAGGGUCGUCAGUCCAUGGGAGAGAGCAGCUGGGAAGCCAUUGUGAAAACCAGUUAUAAUUUCAGAGAAGAUGCAGAAAGAAAGAGGAUCUUUUGGAAAACCUCAAUCAGCAUCUGCAAAUCAUCUACAGAAUCUAUGAAACCUGUCCAAGUGAAGAUGGCUGCUGCAGGCAACGCGAUUGCACAAUGUUCUUUCAUAUGCCUAAUCUCUUCUUUCUCAACAUAAGGCUUUAUACAUACAUGCCAUCAUAUCAUGCCAGAAUUUGUCAUCUCUACACUAUCACCUUUUCCUGAUGGGGUAAUGAGGAGAGUCUAGAUUCCUGUAGUUCAAGCACUGUGUCUAUUCUCCAGGUUAGCUAGAAGGUGAUUUCUCAAAAAUAGAGCCAUUUGUAAUUGUC
rnacentral:lncRNA from 1 species